AUUGAACGCUGGCGGCAGGCUAAACACAUAAAAGUAGAACGAGUGGCGGACGGGAGAGUAAUGAUUGGGAAUCUAGCUUCUGGAGGGGGAUAACUACGGGAAACUGUGGCUAAUACCGCGUACCAUAGGAUGAGCCCAAGUGGGAUUAGGUAGUUGGUGAGGUAAAGGCUCACCAAGCCGACGAUCUCUAGCUGGUCUGUGAGGAUGACCCGCCACACUGGGACGGAGACACGGCCCAUACUCCUACGGGAGGCAGCAGUGUGGAAUAUUGCGCAAUGGGGGCAACCUGACGCAGCCAUGCCGCGUGAAUGAAGAAGGCCUUCGGGUUGUAAAGUUCUUUCGGUAGCGAGGCGUUAACUACAGAAGAAGCACCGGCUAACUCCGGGCCAGCAGCCGCGGUAAUAC
rnacentral:rRNA from 1 species